rnacentral:rRNA from 1 species
AUGGUCGCCAACCAGCCCCUUGAUCAGAACGCGAUGGCCACCAACGAGCUCCCUGAUCAGAUCACGAUGGCGGCCGAGGAGCUCCCCGUUCAGAUCGCGCUGGCGGCCGAGGAGCUCCCUGUUCCUAACCCGCCGCCUUCCUCCUGCUCCACCAACAGCUGUCUGCGGGGGCUUGCGCAGGAAGAUGACUAUGUAAUACUGAUUCCUCAUUCCCACAUCUUUGCCCUCAUGCUGCAAGCUCUCAAGUUGCCCCCUGCGACUUACCAUCACAAGACAUAUCUAGGCAAUGAGUCUCGUGUGACGGUUACUUUCAAUUCAUCGUUAAAGUUGAUCGAUGGUUUGCUUGUUCCAACCUCGAUAUCUGGUGUGAUCUCAAAGAACUGUGAUGAAGCAGAAGACAGUGCUGCUAUGGCAGCCAUUAGGUUUAUGGAGGAUGUAUGUGGCAAGGAAAUCAGGGAUUAUCACUACAUCCAUGUUAAAAGGCCGGAAAAUAAGGUGACACACCUGGUAAGGUUGCUGGUUGCAGCAAACAAGACAAUAAAGAAGGCACACAGAGGAUGGUACUAUGCUGUCAGAUACAUGAGCUCGUAUUCUAACCAGAUACAGAAUACGACAGCUGCUCGGCGCCUAAGAGGGUAG